GCUUCCUAUCUGUUCCAUAAGUGUUUUCUGGCAUCUUAGCAGAUCAUCUAUUCACCCAGUCUGUAGCCAAGGAUUCAAAGCUGAGCACCAGAGACAUGUGCCACAGCAAGCAGAGACACACAGAACAUGGACCAUGGAGUGCCACGCCCCACUGCCUCCGGCAGGGCAGGCACACAGUUUGGAGGAGAGGGGAGUCACUCGCUUCUUUCCAAUGAUUUUGUCUUCACCGGGUACUACCAACUCUGCAGAGAAUGAAGACAAAUUGCUCCACUCCAGAAACCUCUGUACAGCACCUGCUCCUC
rnacentral:lncRNA from 1 species